rnacentral:lncRNA from 1 species
UUUUUUUUUUUUUUUUUUUUUUCGCUGAGCCACUUCUUUUCACUUUCUUAAUAGUGUCUUUUGAUGCACAGAAGUUCUUAAUUUUGAAGUAGCCUGAUAUACCUGUAUUUUCUUUCAUUGCUUGUGUUUUUAAUGUCAUAUCUAAGCAUCCAUUGCCAAAUCUAAAAUAUCGAAUUUUCUCCUGUAUUUUCUUCUUAAAGUUUUAUAGUUUUAGUGCUUACAUUGAGGGCAUUGAUCCAUUUUGAGUUAAUUUUUGUAUAUGAUGUAAGGUCAGGGGCCCAACUUUAUACUUUUAUAUGUCGAUACUAAUUAUACAGGCACUAUUUGUUGAAGAGAUUAUUCUUUCCCCCAUUGAAUGGUCUUGGCACUGUUGUCAAAAUUCAGUUGCCCAUAGAUGUAUGGGUUUGUUUCGUCCUAUGCUAAUACCAUGCUAUUUUGAUUACUGUUAGCUUUGUAAUAACUUUUUUUUUUUUAAUGUAAUAACUUUUGAAUUUGAGAAUCGUGAGUCUUCUAACUUUGUUUUUCUAUUUCAGGGUUUUCUUGGUUAUUCAGGAUCCCUUCAGAUUCCAUUUGAAUUCUAUAGUCAGCUAGUCAGUUUUUACAUAAAGCACACCUCAGAUUCUGAUAUGGAUUUCUUUGAAUCACUAGAUCAAUUUGGGGAAUAUUGCUAUUUUUAUAAUAUUUUUUCAACCCAUUAACAUGGAUUUUUUUUUUCAUUUAUUUAGGUUUCAUUUCAUUUCUUUCAUUUGUAGUUUUUAGUAUAUUGUGCUUCCUUGGUUUAAUUUAUUCAUAAAUUGGGGGGUUUUUGAUGCUCUUAGAAAUGGAGUUGUUUUCUUAAUUUCAUUCUCAGGUUCAUGUUUAGUGUAUAAACAUACAGCUGUUUUUUAUAUAUUGAUCUUGUAUCCUAUAAUUUUGCUAAAUUUGUUUAUUAGCUCCAAUGGUGUUUGGGGUGUGUGUUCUUUACAAUUUUCUAUUCAUAAGAUCAUGUGAUCUGUAAGGAAAGAUAAUUUUACUUUCCCCUUUUCAAUUUGGCUAGAACUUCCAGGACAGUAUUAAAUAGAAGUAGUGAAAAUGGGAGUCCUUGUUUUGUUCUUGAUCUUAGGGGAAAAGCUUUCAGUCUUCCACCAUUGAAUAUAACACUAGCUAUCGGUUUUGCAUAAAUGUCCCUUAUUGUGUUUUUCAUUCUCACUUUUAAGGUAUUCCAGUUCCAGUUACUCCACAUCCUUUCCAGCAUUUGAUAUUGUUGCAAUGUAUCAUUUAAGCCAUUUUCGUCAGUAGGUAGUGGUGUUUUAUUGGAAUUUUAACUUGCUUUUCACUGAUGACUAACAACAUUGAACACUUUUCUAUAUGCUUUUGGCCGUAGAAUGUUUUGAGAAGGUCUUUUACAUUAAAAAUCAAUGUUUUGUGGUUGCCCUGUGAAUGUAUAUUGAAUACAGCAGGAACUGGGCCCCCUUAAUGUUUACUUUAGGCUCCUUACCUGUUAGUACUGCUCUGCAUCUACUUUUCUAGUAAAGGUUUGAGAAAUUAAGACCUAUUAUAUAAUGUAUGUGAACAUUAAAAAUUUAUGAACAUUUAAACAUUUUAAAGAACUGGAGAAAAAUUUUAUUUGUUGAUAGGUAAAUAAUUAUAGCUGUUAGACAUGGGUUAAACCUUUUUAAAGAAUUCACUUAGAUAUUACUUAACAAGAAGUUAUGUUAUGCCAAGGACAUAUGUGUGCUUCUUAAUGAUACAAAUGAUAAAGAUACACACAUUUACCUGUCAGAAAAUGGAUAUCAUUGUGUUUGACUAAUCAUCUAAACAUCCCUGAAAAUGGAGCUGUCUCCACCUGGCUGUAAUUAGGGUUGGAUUGUUUUAUGCAUCAGACACACUAAAGUUGCUUUAAUUUCUGGGUCCCACACAGCUUUCUAGUUAUUCUGUUCAUUUUCUGCAACUUCAAAGUACUCAUCCAUUUCUCACAAAUAUUUGAACUAGUACAAACAGAAAUAUAUAACCAGGUUGCCAUAUUAUUAACAUUUUUACUCUCAGAUAUUGAAAUGUAUAAUUGGACAAUGGCUCAGAAACCUUGGAAUAGCCUUGAGAGUUGUCCUUUGAAAAGAAAUGCAUUGAAGUAAGGAUGAUGAAAAAGCCCAGGGGGUACAAUAAGAUGUGACAGGAACACUGUAAAUUCCAUAACCUCUUUCAGUUUGGAAUAUCUGGCAGUGAUUGUCUACUCCUAUGAAGUUUUGUGACAUUUGGAAUUAAAUUUUAGUGAGAUUUAGUAUACGGAGGGAUGCCCUGUUUUACUUGAUCUGUUUUAUAGUGGCAUGAUUUUUGUCUGCUUAUAAAUGACUUAGGAGAGCUUUGUUAUAUGCCUUAUAUGGUGUUAGUCUCUCUUCUUACAACAUCUCUAAUCCUCACUACAAUCUUGUAAACCCAAUUUACAGAUGAAACAAAGCUUCAAAAAAAUCAUUUCUUGCCUAAAGUCACAGAGCACAGUAAGUGGUGAUUUGAACUCAAAUUCAUCUGAUCCUAAAGCUUACGGUUUUUCUGCUAUAACAGUGGUUUUCACUCCAGUCCAAUUAAAAUAGAAUUUCUGGAAUUAGACUUUAAUGUUUGAGCAUCAAUCCCAGAUUAAUAAUGUGCAUCUAGGAUUAGAAACCACUGAAUAACAUCCUGUGCUUACUAUUGUAAGACUGUACUUCAGUAGAAGGGGAGGAUAGUAAAAGAACAUGUUUUCCUUUAAAAAUGUGUGCAGUGUUGUCCAUUUAUCUCUGCCAAAACGUAUCUAUUUGAAACUUCAGUGGUAGGUGGUAUACUGAGAACAUGCUGAAGCUUCCCUUUGCUACUUCACAGUUUUAAAAAUAAUCCUUCCUUCCCCUUCCAAAAAUAUAUAGUAGCAAUUGAACACAACUGUGAAAGGAAACAAAAAGAGCAAAACUGGCCAAAAAUUAUGAAGAACUCUUGAAAAAUGGGAUUGGAAUACAGAUGAGAACCAUAAUCUGAACCACAAAUAGUAAUGUAAUAUUGUAAAAUAUAUGACUAUGGGGAUACUUUAUGUCUAGCCUGCUAGCUGAAGCAGACAUACAGAUCUAGCUCUUCCCAUCUUCAUUCUUCCUCGGUGUAUGUGAUGUAAAAGCAGGCCUUGUGGGUGUUUUAAAAGCCAAAGCAGUAUUGUCAAUAUCCAGAAAGGAGAGUGAGCCCCCAAAAUACUAGUUAUCCACGUUUACUUCCCAGUGGAAGCCUGACCAAAGAUAAGCCCAAGACGUAAAAUCACAAAAUAUUUAAAGGAAACUAAUAUCAUAAAGGAAGGUACCAAACUGUGCAAAGGGGAGGACUCAAGGAAUCAGAGUUAAUAGAAAAAGAAAAACAGAACAAAUAUAAUAACAGAAUAAAUAUAAUAUCCUCAGAGACAUGCAGGAUGGCACUGCAUUCAUUUUAAAAAGAAAAUUUUAGAGACUUUUGAAAUAACAGUUUAAAAGGAAGGACAGAGAAUUGGGAAGGAAAACAAAUUGAGAGACAGAGUUAUACAAUUCAUCUCUAUUUGUGCUUAGAUGUGUGGAAUGAUACUCAACUCAUGUUAACACUUUUUCUUUCUGGGUAAUGGAUAUUGGUUGGUUUGUUGAUUACUAUUUUGUACUUUAUGCAGUAGUUAAAUUUUUUUAUGGGAGCACUUUAUAAAAAUUAUUUGCUUAAAUGAAAUAAAUGAAUUAAACAGUUGAGUUAAAGAUUUUUUUUAAGAAUCAUAAAAAUUAAAGAAAACAAAAGCCCAAAUCAAUUAGGAUAAAAGCAGAAAUCUAGUAGGAGUGUUGAAUGAUAAAAGAAAUCUAUAAAAUAGAUAAAUCUAAGUAAGUCUGAAAAA